rnacentral:lncRNA from 1 species
AGAGAGCUUUUGUGUUGAAAAUAUUCUUACUGUUAUUCUAUUAUCUUAUUUAGAGUGAAACAAGUUGGGAAGAGGUUGUUAAUAAGAGAUUACCCAGGGAAAUAGGUAAAAGAAAUUUCCAUCCAAAUGGAUCGGAUUUUGCAGUUCUUUUUUCUGCAGUACCUCGACGUGACAUGAGCGUGAAAGAGGUUCAAGAAUCCGUUUUCUUUUUAUAAGGGCUAAAAUCACUUAUUUUUUUGGCUUUUUGACCCCAUAUUGUAGGGUGGAUCUCGAAAGAUAGGAAAGAUCUCCCUCCAAGCCGUACAUACGACUUUCAUCGAAUACGGCUUUCUGUUUUUCUUGAAGACGAAUACGAUAUUGCUCCUUUUUCCCAGAAUGGAAUUUCUUUUUCAGAUUACUUCCGGAUUUAGGUGUUUUUCUAGUGAGUCCUGGUAAAGCUCCCAGAUGGCGUAUUUUUUUUAAACGAGGUCCUCGAUAACGGGACAUGAAGACUCCUUUUUUAUUUUAUUGAAAUUUCAUUUUACACAAUUAAUUUCAUUGUAUUUACAUUACGGAAUACAUCGAAAUUAAAACUGAAUUAAACUAAAGGAUAAACAGAGUAAAAUCAACUAAAGUACCAUAAAAAAUAGAAUUUCAUCAACAUCUGGAUUUUUUGUAUAUAUAUUAUUUAUUUUAUUCUUUUGUAUCUAGCAAAAUUUUAAGGUAGAAAACAAAAAAGAUCCUGGAUUCCCCGUUUAAUCCGAAAAAAAGGGGAUUCUUGUUCGUAGAACAUUGAUAACGAAAAAAAAGCCGACUAUCGGAUUUGAACCGAUGACCCUCGCAUUAAAAAUGCGAUGCUCUAACCUCUGAGCUAAGCCAAUUUGGAUGCCAUGACCAUUUGAGAGCAUCGUUGAAAUAUUUAAAUCGGUCAGAAAUGUUCUCCAACAUUUAUCUAAAUGAUAAAGAGAGAGAAUAAUAUGACUUUCUAGUUAUAAGGUUGGAAACAUAUUUAAUGAUGCACCUAUGUUUUAUCGAUUUUUAUUUUGACAUGUUAAUUUUGUUUUCGAGAAGAAGUUAUCAAAUAUUCGAGAAGAGGAUAACGUGACAUCCUCAUGUGCAAAUGUUACUCCAACAUUUAUUCCGUCGUUGAGAGUGGGAUAACGUGACUUCCCAAAUAUAUAUAUAGUUGGAAACAUCUGCGAUGGGUAACAUGGUUUGUGAUUUGGUAUUAUAAAGCUAUUUGGUAAUUUAUUGAACCAUAUAAUUAUUAUGAGUUUUUAUUUGGAGUUUAAUUAUUUGGAGUUCAACCCAAUGGGGUAUUUAGCUAAGGAAAGGUUUUAGUGCAAAGUAUGCCAACCCAAUAUUUUAUUAGAGUUUAAACUAAUUUAUGAAACAAAGGUUUCAUAAUAGAUUUCAAAACCUAUUUGAUAUAUUACUUAUAAAGUCCUAAUGACAUUUAUAUAAGCAAAAAUAUUUUCACUUAUUUUAUUUUGAAAGGAUUCAAGUCCCAAAAGUUCACACUUUGGAGGAUUUGAAUUUACAAAUUUACUGGAGUUUAUUUGAACUUAUUUGGAGUUAGUAAUCAAAAGUUAUUAAAAAAAAAAGAAAAGAGAAUGGACCGACCCAAACCGGGCCGGCCCAUCUCCACCGAGCAGUCCAGUGAGCACGAGCUUGUGCGCGUGUUUUUCCUCCUCUGCACAUAAGGAAACCACUCCUUCCAUAUUUUCUUCCUACGAUUUUUUUCCUUCCCGCGCGUCUCUCUUCGAAAGGAAACCACCCCAUCAAUCCUCACGAUCCCAGGAACCGAUUCAGGCAAUGAAUUUGAAGUUUUCUCUCAUAAUCGCCGUUACCAAAAUAGGCGCCCCGAAUGCCGGCCGUCGACAUCCCGCGUUCGAUCUCCCUCCUCGGCCAGUAUAAAAGGAUUCCACGCGCGUCACUUUGAGCCUUUGCCUCUCCUCUCCCACUCCAAUGUGGAAAGCUUUGCCUCAAAACCUCUGUACAGCCGGCUACGUCGACGUCUUUCUCCGCUCGUCGCCUCCGCCAUUGUUGCCGGUGAGCUCUCUCCGAAGGUUCGUUUCCAAAUUCCUUUCACCAGUGGACUCACGUGACCCUCUACUACCUUUGUGACAAGGUUGUUCGAACCAUGUCAAUCGUUGGCCGCGCCGUCCCCGACCCCACGCCGACGCCGCGCCUGGAGCUCCGCCCGUCGCCAUCCGGAGAUGCUACGACCGCGCAAGCCGCGCCACGACGUCCACCUUGACGCCGUGCACAUCCCUAGCCUCCUCACCGACCACAUCGACCCUGCCGACGACUCCUUUGCCAUUUUCCGAACUCCGGCGAACUCCGUUUCGGUGAGAAAACUUUCAGCAUGAUCUGUUUUGAUUACCAUGUUUAGAAGCCCAUAUCUUUUGAUCUGUGUAUCAUUUUUGGGCGAUUCUUUCGUAUAUGGUUAGACCACAACCUCCUCUAUAGAUCAGGUUAGUUUUGAUAGCUCGUAUCCAAGAUCUUCUGUAGUGCAUCUUUGUUCGAAAUUGCUAUUCACAGCACGUUGUUUCUGGAUUAGCCACCUUUCGAAAUUCUUGUAGGUUGUUCUAUUGAUCCAUUUGGUUCCAAACCUUCCGUAGAUCAUUAAUUAGAUCAUGAUAUACACAUUAGUGUACUUCUUGCACAACUUAGGAUUCAUCUACAGAGGUGCAUCUUCAAUCAAAAGUCGUAUCUGUUAACACUGUCACAUUAGUUAGCUUUCUUCCGGAGCCUAUAUCUUUUGAGCCAUUACUUCAAAUUAGAUGAUUCUUUGUAUCAUGUCAAUACCAAAUCCAAAUCUAAAUCCUAGACCUCUUGUAACACCUUUAAAAUUUCAUCGACACUAGUGCAUCGUCAUUGCAAAACAGUACCUUCAGCAGUUUCCCACACUUGGCCAAUUCUAAGCCUUUAGAUAUAGAAACUUUGUUAUAGAUUAGCUUUAUUUGUAAACCUGUAUCUUUUGACUCACAACUCCUAUUUAGGUUAAACCAGUGGCUUUUGAAAUCCUGUUAGAUCUAGUUUAAUUCAUCCUAGUGGCAUCUCUGUCUUUUGAAGCCAUUAGCACCAGUAAAAUUUCAAUUGGAAUUAGUACCUUUAGUCUGGCAGUUUCUGACUAGCCGUCUUUGCAAGCUCAUAUCUUUAUAUAUGUCUGUCCUAUUAAGCCAAUUCCUUCUGGAAUACAAAGAAUAGAUCACCCUCCUUACACCAGUCCAAUUUGUUUACCUUGUUCCAGUUCAUAAUCAAUAGUGUAUUUUCAGUUGAAAAUUGUAUCUGCUGUAGUCUGAUUACUGAUUAGCUACCUUCAAAGAGGCAUAUCUGUUGAUCCCUAAUUCUAAACCAGUUUUUUCUUUCUGUGUUGACAAGAAUAAACCCAACUCUUGAUUCUGGACCACUUUGUGCACCUUUUUAAAUUCAUCUACCAUAGCCGAUGACCCCUAGAAAAUUGUAUCUGUUAAGAGCCAAUGACUUCACCGUUUCAAUUCGCGCAGCUGGGACAGUUCACGCCGUUCUCUCUCCGCGGCCUCCUGCACCUUGCUGAGCUGAUUCUUGGCGGCAGUGUGGUGCUCCCUCACCAUGUUGAAGGAGUUGACGAAGGCCAAUUGCUGGUCCCUGACGGCGUCCAGGAACCGGUGCUCCCGCUCGAAAAUGCUCGGAUCCCAAGUAGGGGGUUCCAAGCGACCCUGGCAAGGGUGCCGAGGUCGGUACCGGGGAGAGCCGCCGAGGACGAUGAAGCCCCAGGUGCCGAAGUGGGGCUGAGCGCGGGGUCGCCAACUUGCUCCCGGGGGUCUUGCUAUCCUCCCCCGGCAACUUCCCCUGCGCCUACGCCCAGGGACCCCGGGGCUGGGGAAGUCUCCCUGCUUCCGGCGGGGGCUGCCCCCUGCUGGGCGACAGGUGAGCCUGCGCCGACCGCGUCCGCAGCUGCGAGCGCGUCGCCAGGCGCCGUCACGUCGGCGGCGGUGUCCACUGCUGCCGCUGUGUCGGCCGCAGCGGGGUUGGACGUGAGAGGCGAUUCCGUCUCCACCUCCGCCCCCACGGCCUCGACGACUGGGUCAAGAUCCACCACGGUCACGCCCGUUCCAGGCAUGGGCGCACUUGUGCCUACAACAACGAAAAGCAUGAGGAUCGGCGAAGGAUGGCUCUAUUGAAGACGUGCAAGGGUGAUCGGCAUGGUUACCUUGUGCGGCCGCCGGGCUAGCCGGGGAAGCCUCCCCUGGCUCGCCUGUGCCGGCCCUCUUGCUGGUACCCACCGGCGAAGAAGACAUCGGCGAGUUACGCCGGAGCGCGAAGCCCCGGAAGACCCCCCGAGCGGGCGGCGCCGUGGGCGCCCGCGGAGUCGUCGUGACCCGAAGAGCUCCGGGUGUCGACGGCAAUGCCGCCGCGCGCUGCAGGCCAAACUCGCGGAGGCCCCCGCUCCCGGGGAGAAGGCCGUUGCCGGGCCACCGAGGAUCCCUGCAGGCACGGGCCCUGCCAGAGUACCGGCGGGUGCGUCGGGACCGGUUGCCGCCACAGUGUUGGCGGCUGCCGCUGGGGCGGAGGCCGCCGCCAAGACACCCGUGGCCCCUGUUGCCGCGGAUGCCGAUGUGAUGCCGACGGGCGCCCCUGAAGCAGCCGCCGCCGCAAGGGUGGUGGCCGCUGCCGGGGCGGAUGGUGCCGUCGAGGAGAGGGCUGCGGUCGCUGCAUGCCCUCGAUCUCCUCACGAUCAAGGGCGCGUUGUCGCUGCUUUCGUCGUCAUCGUCCACGGCGACCACCUCCGGGGAUGUCGCCACCUGGCCCGCCUCGUCGUCCAGCGACUGGAGAGAGGGCCAGCUAGGCUCGGACCCGCCCACGCUCUCCGUUGAUUGGAAGGUCUCGCCGGAGAUCCCCUUCACCCAUGUCCUGAGGGUUUCAAAGUCCACGCCGUCCUCCCGGAGGCGUGUCCUGUCCCCGGGACCCGUGUACAUCCACGUUGGCCGGGAGCGUCGCUGCAGCAGGGCUAUGCGCCGAUGGACGAAGGUGCUUGCCACGUCCACAUCGGUGAGCCCCGCUAGCCGCAGCGCCUUGAUCUUCUCCAUGAUGGGGAAGAGGUCGGUGUCGCGGUGGUAUCUGUCCUGCCAGCCGUUCUGGGGUAGCGGCAACUUCGUCAGCGACUGUAUCAACUCCUGGGGGUCCUCCACUCGGACCCAUCACCAGUCGCUCCGCCACUCUUUUUCAAUCUUCUUCCCCGACCGGACGAUGAACUCGGACUUCAUUUGGUCGCGGGUGCGGAAUACCACCCCGACGACAUCCCCUUCGCGUUGUCAAUGCGGCGGUAAAAGUAGUGGCGGAAGAGGAACUGGAAGGUGGUGAGGAGAAACAGCGACGUGGGGUGGAGUUGCGCCACCCGCAACUGGUAGGACUCCAUCAAUGCAUGGAGGAAUAGGGAGAAGGGCGGCACCAUGCCGCAGAGGAGGAAGCGCGCGAACACCCGGAAGUCGUUGUCCUGGUGCUCGACGCCCGCCGGGAAGAUCCGCGUCUCCCCGUGUUCGUUGAAACAGGAAGCGACGGCAUGCCGGAGCUUCCCUAGCGCCUCGCUGUUAUAGCCGGGGCGGAAGAAGGCGACUGUGGUGUGCAUCUCCUGCCUCUUCUAGUCCUUGGCGGCGGCCGCCUUGAUUGCCACCUCGCUCUUGCUUGUUGCAGCCUUCUUCGAGACUUGGACCUCCUUCCCCUUUCUGGUGGUGGGAGGCGCCAUGGAAAGCGAGGGCGGAAGCUAGCAGGAGCGCAGGGAUGCGAGAUGCGGAGGGGGAUGGAGACGAAGGCAAUGGGGGCAGAGUAUUGUUCCCCUUUUGGCAACAGUGAUGGCUUUAUAACACCCGGCUGUUUGGUAACGGCCGGUUCCGUACCCUACGGGUGCGCGGGGAUAACUCCUAAUCAUUAGGAGUAAUGCGCGGAGUGGCUUUAAUUUCCCUAUUUAGGGGGGGGGUUAGGGCGGAAAUCACGCGUCCACUACUCCGUUUGUAACGGUGCCGUACACGGGGCGGCGAAGGGACGCGGGCCUGGGGCAGAUCGGGGCCCACGCAUCGGUUAAGGGCGUCGCCCGGCAACCGACCAGGGGGAAGGUUCUUCCGAGAACAGGUGAUGCCGGCCCACGCCCGGGGGCUACUGUCGCACCAGUGGCACCCGGGGUACCACCGCUGCGCGACGCGUGGGCCCCGUUCCUGAGUUCCCGGGAAGGUUUCGUCUCGGGGAGCGUCUAUGAGCAGCCCGUCAGGCUACCAGCACGGAAGAGGGCUAGGCCUUCGGGGAAUAUUCCCGCCUGGGCACCUCCCGGGAAGCAGCUUCCCGGGGGGGGGGGGGGGGAGGGGUUCCCGGGUGCGUUGGGCCCGGGCGCUUCCCCGGGGGUUCCCGGGCGCAUGCCCCCACCUCAGGCGCGGGGCCCAAUAGCCAGAUCUACAGCGCCACGAGGACGCGUGGGGGGCGUGGGAUGCGCGGUCCCAGCAGGGCAAGGAGUAAGGCGCACGGCUCAUUAAAUGAGCCGACCGACAGGGCGUUACCCGUCCGAUCAAAGGAACAGUGGCUGUCCAAUCCUACUCUAGGGGUUUUAGACCCCUAGCGGCGGAGGUGGCAUCCAUGCGCGCUAUGAUCUCACCGAGGGGAGUUGUAUGCCUCCCCGCCCGACACUUGUAGCUCAUGCACCGUGGCACCUGUGGCAUCCCCUUGAGUAUAAAAGGAGGACCCUCGCCAGCGGUCAAAAGGUUCCGCAGGAGAUUAGUUGGCUCCAGUAGACAGUUUGGCUGAGUUCGACCAGCUCAUAGUUAGCUUCCAGCACUAGCAAAGAGUAGUAAGGGGUACCUAGCCAGAGAGAGAAAGCCCGGGAACUUGCCCGGCAACUUGUAAACACUCGAUUCUAAACUAAUACCAGCGCAGACAAGCAGGACGUAGGGUUUUACACCUCCGGGUGGCCCGAACCUAGGUAAAAACGUGCGUGUGUUUGUUCUUGAAUUAGCGCGCACCCCUAGCACUUCAUCAUGCCGGCCCAGUAGGGCCCCAUCGGCCGUGCCACCGAUCGUCGAGGUGAACCCUGACGCCCCCACCGAACCUAAAAGGGGGCCGUGGCCGCACGCCCCCGGUGUCUGAGCACCGUGCGAUGACAGAAACCUUGACAUGAAGUGUCGCAAUAAACUUGAAACUCCUCUUGCAGGUUUGGUAACACAAGGAUGGGCGCAGACACUAGUCUUUUCUUCUUCUCCUGGAAACUCUCUUCACAUUUCUCGUUCCAGGCAAACUUCUUCUCUUUCUUUAAGAGUUCAGUCAUGGGUUUAGCAAUCUUGGAGAAGUUCUCAAUAAAUCUCCGAUAGUAUCCAGCGAGUCCUAGGAAACUGCGGAUAUCUCCAACGUUCUUAGGUGACUCCCAUUCUGUAACAGCUGUGACCUUAGCUGGGUCAAUAGCUACUCCGGCUCCUGACACAAUGUGUCCAAGGAAACUGACUUCUCACAGCCAAAAGUCACACUUGCUGAACUUGGCGUACAACUUGUGCGCUCUCAGCUUCUCCAAAAUCAUGCGCAGAUGCUGCUCAUGCUCUUCCUUGCUCUUGGAAUAAACCAUAAUAUCAUCGAUGAACACAACGACGAACUUGUCUAAGAAUUCAAUGAACACCAUGUUCAUCAUGUUCAUGAAGUAUGGAGGUGCAUUGGUCAAACCAAAUGGCAUCACGGUAUACUCGUAUAGACCAUACCUAGUGGUGAAGGCUCUUGGGUAUAUCCAUCUCUCGGAUUUUCAGCUGAAAAUACGUGAUCGCAGAUCGAUCUUUGAGAACACACAGGCUCCUUCCAACUGGUUGAAAAGAUCAUUGAUUAUAGGUAAGGGGUACUUAUUCUUUAUCGUCACCUCAUUCAGUGAGCGAUAAUUAAAGCACAUCCGUUGGCUCUUGUCCUUCUUCUCCACAAACAGGACAGGUGCUCCCCAAGGUGAUGACCUGGGGCGAAUGAAUCCUUUCGAUAACUGCUCAGCCAACUGCUUCUUCAAAUCCUUCAAUUCAUCCACAGCCAUCUUAUAAGGUCUCUUGGCUAUGGGUCCACUUCCAGGCAUCAAUUCGAUGAGAAACUCUACAUCACGGUCUGGUGGCAUGCCUAGUAACUCCUCCGGGAAAACAUCCGGAUACUCAUUCACUAUUGAAACCUCGUCCAGGCUAACCCCCUUAAGAGAAUUGACCUUAGGUCUCUGAAGUUCAAAAGCAGAUUUGAAACAGAUUCUCCUAUUCUCUGGGGUGGUGAGGGUGAUGGUUCUUCUGACACAAUCUAUGAGACCCUUAUACUUGGCCAGCCAAUCCAUUCCUAGGAUGACAUCCAAACCCUGGGACCCUAUUAUUAUUAGGUUCGUGGGGAAGGUUUGUUUCCCUAUUUCCAAACUUAGCCUGCGGCAGUCAUAGGCGGCUAUCAGUUCUCCCCCCGUUGAAUUUACCUUCAUGGGGUUGGCUAGUGUGCUAACAGGUAAUCCAUUUUGAUGCACAAAUCCUCUUGAGAUGAUUGAAUGAGAUGCACCGGUAUCAAACAGUACUAAAGUUUCAAAAGAAUUAAUGCUAAAGGUACCGAUGACUAUACCUUGCUCCUCGAUGAUCUCUUCCACGUCGAUGUGGUUCACGUUGCCCUUCUGGAAUGGGUUUGGUUUAACCACAUUCCCUCCAAAUCUCUCUGGGCAAUCGUUGGAGUAGUGCCCCAUCUUGUGGCACUUGAAGCACUCCACCUGGCUCAUGUCCCUGCCAGGGUUGCGGUUCUGUCCUGUGCCAUUGCCGUUGGUGUGGCCCUUUCCAUUUCUGUUCUGGUUCCCACCUCCAUUGUGGUUACCAUUCCCAUUGUGAUUCCUCGGGCGCUGUUGCUGCUGGUGCUGAUGCUGGUGCUGGUGCUUGCAGUUACUGUUGUUCCCGGCAUGGCGGUUCUGGUGGCCAUACCCUCCACUAUGCUUGUCAUUGUGGCCCCCGGCCCUGUGCACAGACGAACGGCCACUGCCGUCUUGGGUGGUGCGCGGCUUCUGAUGUGGCCCCGCGUGAGAGCCUCCCUGGUGGAGUCUCCUCUUGCAGUUCUCCAUCUGGUGGAGCUUGUUCUCCAACACAAUCGCCUUGUCGAUUAGCGAUUGGUAGGUGGGGGUGUACGCAACAGCCAGUUGAACAGAGAGUUCAUCGUUCAGCGCAUCCAAGAGUCUCGCUCGGCGCUUGGCAUCAGUGUUCACCUCGUCCAGCGCAUAACGGGCGAGGCUGUUGAAUUGGUCGAUGAACUCGACCACAGUGCGGCUUCCUUGCCUGAGCCGCAGAAACUCCUUCUUCAAAUUAAACACUCCCGCUGAGAUAUGGGCAGUGCGGAAGGCUUCUUGGAACAUAUCCCAGGUGACAUGCUCGAUGGGGGUGGUGAUCUGGUAAUUCUCCCACCACGAUGCAGCUGGUCCUUCUAGCAGAUGAGCUACGAAUCUCACUUUCUCCUCCGCGGUGCAAUUGAUGGUCACCAAGUUCUUGUUAAUAGAACGGAGCCAGUCGUUCGCCACUAUUGGCUCUGGUGAGCUGGAGAAGGUAGGUGGGCGCAGUCGCAGAAAUUUGAUCAACAUAUCCACUUGUGGAGGGUGGUGUUGCUGGUUGUUGUUGGGAUUCUGUUGGUGGUUGGCGUUGUUGUUGGCUAACUGCUGAGUGAUCAGCUGAAAGAAUUGGGUCUGGGCAGCCAAUAAAUGUUGCAUGGUGGCAGCAUUCCCUUCGGCUUCGGUGUUGUUAGCCUCAGCGUUGUUGGUGGGGUUCUGGUGUCUUGGAGGCAUCUGUUUAGGGUAGCAUAAAUGAGGCAUAAUAGACAGAGCCCAUAAUAAAAGAGUACGGAAAAAGCAAUCGAUCUACAUUGCCAUACACAUAGAUUGUAUGGUCAAUGACUAACUUGCAGUACUGAUAACGAAAAAUAACUGUAAAGUCUGGCAGGCAUCAACAAGACUAAGGGGGUGGCUGAUGUCGCGGCCCCAUUCGCCCUCUUCUUGGAGCGGGUGUUGGAGGUAGGGGUGUCCAUCUGGUGAACCUCCAGGGGCUCCUCCUCCUCAGUCAGUACUCCCUCCUGAGGCUCCAUCUCCUGAUCCUAUGGCGCAGGUGGGGUCUGAACAGACGCCGGUGGAGGAGCUGGCGCGGCUGCGGCUGCGGCUGCGGUGGCAGCUGCGAUGAACGCCUGGAACUGCUCACAGUAGUAGCGGGCCAGGUCCCUCUCAUACUGCAGCUGCUCUAUGGCGCCUCCCAUGUUGAGGACAGUGUUCUCCAACAUAGUCUUGUCCUCCUGCAGCUAGGCAUUCUCCCCCAGUAGUUUGCCGGCCUCCUCCUCAGCUAGGUCGGCCCUGGUCAUCUCGUGCUUGAGGCAAGACUCUAAGUCCACUGUUUUUGCCUCCAUGUUCUCGAAGUGGGUCGUCACCAGGGUCGCAUCCUCGUCAUUGCUUGUUGCCACAGCCGAGCAUGCAUGGUUCCGCCUUCCAAAGAGGAGGAAGGGGGAGUACUCGGGAAACUCGUGCCGAUAGUCCUGGCACACCUGCGUGAAGGCGCACUGCAUGGCAAACUGAAGGCCUUGCCCAAAGGUGGGGUAACAACCGCCCCGUACAGGGUUCGAUCUCUGUGCUUAAUGUGCUAGUCCCUGGAUCGACUCACUAGCACACAUAGUUCCAAGAUGUAAUAUCAAGAUACAAAGGUCAGAGUACUUUAUUACAUCGCACCAUCCAGAACUUAAUUGUACUUACAAACUUGCAUAACCCCUCAGGUCAGCAUAACAAAAAACUGUUUCAACAAAUCAAAAUAGUGCUUCAAAAACUUGCAGCGGAAAGGUAGAGCAAAUGGGCCACAACUACUCCCAAAGGAGAGAGCAUGUUGGAAUGUAAGCACAUGACCCAAAGAACAUCGACGAACCUCACUCUUCGUCAGAUUCACCUGCAGUAUUAAUUGUAGCCACUACGUGGUCAAUACAUUUAAUUUAUUGGCAAGUUAACCAAAGGUUAUAAAAGGACCUACCAAGUACAUGCAUAAUUUGCAUAAGUGGGGUUUGGCUAUUUGCAUAAAACCAUCAAUGUUUCAUCCUAUCAUUUUUAACCAAAUAGUUUUAUCUCUAUUGGACACGGUGUAGACACACCCAUGCUCCUAUUAACCUAGAGCACAUUGAGUAGACACAUCAAUGCUCCUACCCAGUUCAAUCCAUUCAUUUUAUUAGGAAAUUGGAAUGAGUGAGACCUUCCUUACAGCCCCCAAAUCUAGUUGCUCAUAAUUGUCCGUAACCGGGGACAUGGCUAAGUACUUACUUUGACACUCUCGAGAGGUUGUACACAUUACCCACAAGAAAUCAACGUGUUAAUCCCUUGUUGUCCUCAGGGUAGAGUAGCCACGGCAUCGACUUUAGCAUGUCCUACACAGCUACCUCAGUACAAUCCCUCGGAUCUGGGUUCAUAUUUCUUACUCCAUCCAGCCAGAGCCCAUUUAGCAUGUGGUUGUACUGGAAGCUACUAAAUAGGAAACUAGUCCAGUCUCUGGUUACCUCGGGUGGCAUUUCACAUUUGCGACGCAAGCGCUCCCUGAAUCCACGGGGAGACGUCCAUUGACGAUCCAUCCCCGAAUCCACGGGGACUCGUCUCGGAGGGACCGAUAGAAAUGGACCUGACGUCGCAUAACAUUUCGAAUACUAGUAGCAGCCCACCUAGGACGGUUCAUUAAAUUACUUGUUUUGCCAUACACUAGAAAAAUCAUACUUUACUCCAUAAUGACAAUAAUAUCACAUUGUAAUAAUACCACCCAAGUAUAUUAUCAUAUCAUAGCAUUGAACUAUCUACGAUGGCAAUUGGUGGUAGGACAUGGCAAGGGUAUCCUAUACCAGUAGGGAAUCAUAGCUAGCAUAGGUACAAUAAUAUUCCUAUCAAUGCAACUAAUAAAAACUAGUGCAUAAUAAAAUAAUGGGAUAAUGGUCAAAGUGACCUUGCCUUGGUAGCAGUUGGAGUUCAAACACUCGUCACAGUCACAAGGUUCGCUCUCCGAGUAAACUAAAAUAAACAAGCAUAUACAUACAUAAACACACAAUUCACAUCACGACAAAAGAAGGUAUGCUGUGAUGCAAUGCAAGCAUGUGACAUGUUUUGGUUUAUUUUAUUUGUCGAGUAAGGGUUUCAGUUUCUUACGCAUACAAUAUUUAAUUCUCUGGUCAAAAGGUUUAAUCAAAAUUAAACCAAAAAGAAAAGCCAAAUUAGGGUUUUCAAAUUAAAGCUAAAUUAGAGCUUAUUACAAGGAUUUUAAAAGAAAUAGCCAGAAGAUUAAAUCAAAAAAUUAUCCUUCGGUUCCAAAUGAACAGAGGAUAUUAAAACAAAUUUUUGGGCACUGGUUUCAAGUCAAAAUGAUAUUUAAAUCAUUAGUUAUGAAUUAACUGGUAUUAAACCCUAUUCUGUAAAUAGCUCCAGAAACAAUUUAUCAAAUUUGAAUUUAAACAGUGUGAAAAGAUUCUACAGGUUGAGAGCUUUCCAGAAAGGUAAAAUUUGUCAAAAUUGGCCAAGUGGUUUAAAAGGUAUAAGCAUUUGAAGUUCUAGGGGCUUUUUUGCAAAACUGUCAUUUAAUUAAACCGGGGUUUAAGUUUUUCAUUUU